UGCAUCUGCAGCUCAUGAGGAUGAGAACCUCCGGGGGCAGGGAGGUUCGACUCGAGCGAAGCGAGAGAACGUUGCGCCAGCAAC
rnacentral:sRNA from 1 species